rnacentral:ncRNA from 1 species
UUAUUGCUAACAAAGGAGAGAAGGUUAGCACUCCCCUUGACAAGGAUGGAAGAGGCUCUCGGGCUUGACAACACACAUACGGUUAAGGCAUUGCCACCUACUUCGUGGCAUCUGACCGCUGUUUUCG